rnacentral:lncRNA from 1 species
GGAGGGGAGGGGAGGGGGGAUAGUAGAGGAUAGGAAAGGCAGCAGAAUACAACAGACACUAGUAUGGCAAUCUGUAAAUCAAUGGAUGUGUAACUGAUGUGAUUCUGCAAUCUGUAUACGGGGUAAAAAUGGGAGUUCAUAACCCACUUGAAUCAAAGUGUGAAAUAUGAUAUGUCAAGAACUAUGUAAUGUUUUGAACAACCAACAAUAAAAAUUUAAAAAAAAAAUGUGCUGGGGUUGUGGCUCAGUGGUAGAGUGCUCAUCUGGGACACGCGGGACCCUGGGUUCAAUCCUCAGCACCAUGUAAAAAAUAAAUGAAUGAAAUAAAGGUAUUGUGUCCAACUAUAAAAAAAUAAAUAUUUUUUUAAAAUGUGCUAUGGAGGUAUAAGGAUGGCCUUAGGUCUUAGCCUAAGCAACUCUAUUUUACAACUCCACUUUGAAACCUGCAGUCUCACCAGGCACGCCUAAGGAGCCCUCCGAUAUGAUCAUCAGGCAGAGCCUAACAUAAACAAGUCACUUCUCACCAUCCUGACAAGCCCAGAAUGAAGUCUCUGUCAUGUUGCCCUUGCCCCAUAAAGGGGAGAGGCAAGAAAAUCAGGGUGGGGAACCACCAGACCAGAUGCUUAACCCCAGAACAAAUGACGUCACCAAGAAAUCCAGUGGCAGCUGAUAAGGAUUGAAAAGGUGGUCAGAAGCCCCAAAAUUUAGUAUAAACGAUGGAGCAAAUGAAGAGACAUUCAGCUAGCCAACACUGAUGCCCUCAUGCCGGAGAGCCUGAUGAGGACCUGGACUGACAUCCCAACUCUUCUCAUCAUUUUCCUGAUCCCCUGCAUCUUCCUCACCACUCUCAAACUCUACAGCCACAUCUUAACCCUGGUGAGAACUGCAACUUCUCCCUAUGACCCUCUCUUCAAUGGACUGUGAGCUCCACCCCAGGAGAAGCCUGCCUCGGUCCCUGACCUGAUCACCAUGGUCUGAGUGAGUGUGCAUCUUCUGGAUUUAGAGCUUAAGGCUUGAGACUUUAGAUUGGCACUUGAGCUUAGCAUACAGAGACAAUAUCUGUCGUAAGCCUGUCAUGAUUAAGAAUGUUUACAGUGUUUAGAAUUAAUCUAGAAUUGUUUGCUAUGGAUUGACUAUGUUUAUUGCAGUGCCUAGCAUUAAAGAUUGUCAUUUUCUUGAUUAAGAACCUAUAGAGUGAAAUUGUAUUCAGUGAUUUGAGUAAAUAAAGCGUUGAAAGGGCAGAAGCACAUGGA